ensembl:snRNA U6 U6 spliceosomal RNA
GUGCUCUCUUCAGCAGCACAAAUGCUAGAAUUGGAAUGAUACAGAGAAGGUUAGCAUGCCCUCUGUGUAAGGAUGAUAUGAAAAUUAAUGAAGACUUCCAUUUAAAA